GUCCAUCCAAAUCCUGAAGAUCACCCACGUUUAUUCUCAAAACAGCUUUCAUCUCCACAGGUAAACGGAGGGGGAAGUUCACUAGCAUUUAUUAGCAGGACUGAAGUCAUCAGCUUGGAUUGACACCUCUUCCCAGCGAGCCCCAUAAUCACAAAGAAGGGAGCAGAACCACAUUAGCUAUCCUGACCCAGGAGCCAGCCAGUCUGUACGUGCUAUUGUGACCUCAGGUGCGACUGUGGUUUGAGAGCCCGGCUGCCGAUACAGUGCAGAAAUGUGUGGCCUGUAUAACAUUGCCCCACCCUGGAAACCAACGGGAAGAGGAGAGAACAGGAGCUGACUUCACGGGACUCGGGGCUAGGGCAUGGCCCUUCCGGAAGUAGAGGUGAAGACUGGACUGCUGGGCUAAUCCAGGCACCACGACAGCGCACCUGUAACCCUAGCGCUCUGCAGCUGGAGUCAGGGUGCACUGUGGCACAGCCCCUCCCCGACCAAUUUUAAAGACUUUUUGAGAGAAGGCAGAUCCUGAAGAAUCUGCUAGAUGUUUGCAAACCGCUACUCUGUAGGCCGCACCUGUGAGGAGCAGCAGAGUCCGCUGGGUCUCCUGGCCAACCAGCACGAUCUGCUUGAAGCUCAUGGAAUGGUGGAAGGUCAUCUUGAAGACCCGCUGCCCACUGGACUGCAGAUAGACCUCCACACAGUCACAGGCCUGGCUGCCAGUGGUGCCCACCACUGCUGGCUGCUCCCGAGUGGCCAAGACGUAGAGGGUGACAAAAAGCUGGGAGAUGACUUCAUGUGUAAGCAUGAGGACCUGAAUUCAGAGCCCCGACACCCGUGUAAAAGCUGGGCCGGGCACCACAGCCAUGGUCACAGACGCGUGGACUGAGCCUGCGAGAGAUGCGUCUCCACACGCCCUCAGCAUCGCACACUUCAUGGAGGUAGUGGCAGGUUUGGCCUAGGGCGACCACAUCUCUGACGGG